UUCGAACGGUGAAGCCAAGCUUGCUUGGUGGAUCAGUGGCGAACGGGUGAGUAACACGUGAGCAACCUGCCCUGGACUCUGGGAUAAGCGCUGGAAACGGCGUCUAAUACUGGAUAUGAGCUCCUUCCGCAUGGUGGGGGUUGGAAAGAUUUUUCGGUCUGGGAUGGGCUCGCGGCCUAUCAGCUUGUUGGUGAGGUAAUGGCUCACCAAGGCGUCGACGGGUAGCCGGCCUGAGAGGGUGACCGGCCACACUGGGACUGAGACACGGCCCAGACUCCUACGGGAGGCAGCAGUGGGGAAUAUUGCACAAUGGGCGGAAGCCUGAUGCAGCAACGCCGCGUGAGGGAUGACGGCCUUCGGGUUGUAAACCUCUUUUAGCAGGGAAGAAGCGAAAGUGACGGUACCUGCAGAAAAAGCGCCGGCUAACUACGUGCCAGCAGCCGCGGUAAUACGUAGGGCGCAAGCGUUAUCCGGAAUUAUUGGGCGUAAAGAGCUCGUAGGCGGUUUGUCGCGUCUGCUGUGAAAUCCCGAGGCUCAACCUCGGGCCUGCAGUGGGUACGGGCAGACUAGAGUGCGGUAGGGGAGAUUGGAAUUCCUGGUGUAGCGGUGGAAUGCGCAGAUAUCAGGAGGAACACCGAUGGCGAAGGCAGAUGUCUGGGCCGUAACUGACGCUGAGGAGCGAAAGGGUGGGGAGCAAACAGGCUUAGAUACCCUGGUAGUCCACCCCGUAAACGUUGGGAACUAGUUGUGGGGACCAUUCCACGGUUUCCGUGACGCAGCUAACGAUUAAG
rnacentral:rRNA from 1 species